rnacentral:tRNA from 1 species
UCUCUGGUAGCUCAGUUGGUAAAGAAUCUGCCUGCAAUUCAGGAGACCCUGGUUCAAUUCCUGGAUUGGGAA